AUCCAGCUGAUGAGUUCCAAAAAGGACGAAGCGCGCGUCCUGCAU
rfam:Schistosoma rodhaini strain Burundi genome assembly, scaffold: SROB_scaffold0010950